AACGAACGCUGGCGGCAGGCCUAACACAUGCAAGUCGAGCGCGCCCUUCGGGAUGACCGGCGGACGGGUGAGUAAAGCGUGGAAACGUGCCCUUAUCUGCGGAAUAGCUUCGGGAAACUGAGGGUAAUCCCGCGUACGCGACUGGUGGGAAAGAUUGAUCGGAGAAGGCGCGGGGCGCGUUGGAUUAGGUGGUUGGUUGAGUAAUUGACCAGCAAGCAGACGAUCCAUAGCUGGAUUGGGAGGAUGAUCAGGCAUACUGGGACUGAGAAACGGCCGAGACUCCUAGGGGAGGCAGAAGGCGGGAAGCAUAGACGCUGGGGGCAAGACGGAGCUAGCCGGGCUGCGAGAGUCAGGAAGGCCGUAGGAUAGGAAAGCGCGUGAAGAUGGGAAGAUAUUGACGGUACCAGAAGAGGAAGCCACGGCUAACUCCGUG
rnacentral:rRNA from 1 species